rnacentral:lncRNA from 1 species
GGUAACAAUGUUUCAUUCAGGAAUUUCAUCGAACAAUUUACAUGCAUCAUCAAAAUAAAUAGACACGAACACACAAAGCAGAAAAAUGGAAGGAAAAAACACAAUUUGAUUCAUUGAUUUCAUUCUCUUGCCAUUCAUACAGAAAAAAGAAGUUGUAGUUAGCAACUACUUCCUGUAAAUUCAGCAACAUGCUCCUUCAUCUUUUAGUGUUGUUUUUUU